CAAUAUGGUUCUUUUGGACUUCAUUGUUUAUAUAAUAUAUUUUGUAUAUUUGAUCUCGAGUACUUUACGAGCGACUCCAUUCUUUGUAUACCAGAUGACGGUUUGGUCUAUUUCUAGGUUUAGAUCUUUUAUGCUCAUGAAAAACUUGAAAGUAGGCGAUUUUUUAAUUGUAGCUUUGCUAGAUUUAAAUAUAUUUUUUUUUGUUCCCUUGAAGCUGUGAUGUUUUGCGAGUCUCUAACUAUGGGUAAUUUGUAACAAGCCAUUUUUACAGCUAACCCACAUACUACACAGGUAAUCGCUCACUUUCACUUUAUAUUGUCGUAUGAGUUGCUUUUUUUACUUCAAAGUUCACGAGAGAUGUUCGCUUUUUAUGGAAAACAAAAAUCUAUACUAUUUUGUUUAUGGGCUUUAAUCGUCUAUACCUUUGGAAAUUAUGGUAGAAGGUGAAAAGAUACUUGUUUAUGGAUCAACUUUGCAAGUAAGCUAAACAUGGGUUGACCUUUUCCGUAUGUUUAUACUUGAAAAUAACUAAUAUGUUAAAUAUGAUACAAAAAACUAUUAUUACGAUAAUGAUUCAAACAAAAAUAUUAAGAAUAAUUUUAUUUGCUGAAAAUACCAUGCAGUCCAGAUUGACCCGUUUGUAUAUGCAGGACAUUGGCCUGUACAAGACUCAAACUAAGCUACCCUUCAAUGCUUUGGAACCAUUGCCAUGACAAGAGAGGUAAGACAAUAAAACACCAACUUGUAUAAUCAAAGUUAGUUUUUCUUCAAACAUUAGUGGAGAAGGUGAUUAGUUUUAGUUCAUAAGUGGUUCCCUUUUCUUGUAUGCUUACUACAUUUGCUUAAUCAUUAUAUCUUUUCAACCUACUUUUUUUUAAUUGACAAUGUUGGCUUUAUUGCUGAGAUGGCAUGUAUGAGUCAUAGAAUCCGUGAGAGGACUAAUGCCCAUGAUGCUGCCGGCAACAGUACCGCCUUUGGAAAGGGACUUGCUACUGUCAGCUGCACUGGUAUCAUUAGCACUGUUUGGAGCUUCUGUGAGCUGUGCAGACAUCAAAACAGUUGAUGUUUCAACACCAAAAAUGUUUAUGGGUCUAAAAGUUGGUGCCAUGCUUCUAUACUGGUUUUCAGCCAUGACCAUGAAGAGUGUGGGCAGUUAUUGUGUUUACUUGUUGUGUUAACUCAUGUAGGGCCAAAUCAGCAGAUCAAUAAUGGAAACGAGAAAGUAUGUUACCAUUGGUGAGCGGGCAACUGCAACCUGUUUCCUUUCCUGUUUCUUCACCGUGAGUUAUUGGCGCCGAUCGAUGCCGUCAACGAUUCCUCAGGGUUUUGCCACCGAUAAUCAAUGAUCGACGGUGGCACGGCAGGUGGUUGUUCUUAUACUAACACACUGUGAUCUAAAACCUGAACACAUCCUUUUAUGCACAAGGUGAGCUACUUUGGCAAGAAACGAGUCAAAUUGGGAGGGGCCAGCUAAUAUAAAAACAGUACGCCAAGUUGUGAAAUAGACUUUGUUAACUUUCAACCCAUUUAACUUGUUAACCUUUUAGCUAAGUUGUUUUGUUUGAUCUGUUUAAGAUAGUACCAAACCCAAACGACCCAUUGAUAAGUAAACAGGUUGAAAUUGCCAAUUUAUUUUUUCCGUUGAUUAAUCUCAAUCGAUCCUAUAAGUGUUGUUUAUUACUUAGUACCAGAACUAUAAUGGAGCCUCUGGAUGUCAAAUUUUUGACUAUGGAUCUGCAUGCAUGGACGAUCUCGUUGUCUUUUCUUUGAUAUUAUGUCAUUUGUUUCUUGUAUGUAAUCAUGUGAAGUCAAUGGUACAAUGUUAACAUGGUUUUGUGGUUUCAUAUUGCAUCCUAAAUCCAAAUCUAAUUCACUGUUUGAACGCCAAGUCUCAGAACAGGUAAAAAAAGCUAACCUUUACUUUCAUAAUAGUCUUUUUAUGUGUUUGUCAAUCUGAACUAAAGUUUUAUCACUUUUGUGAUGGAGAAUUGAGCUGGGGAACGACGUUUGAAGCCCUAAAUCCAAUUAGGGCAGAUGAGAGGUUACCUGGGUCGAAUGGCAACUUCGUCCAGGAACUGGACUUUGAACCUUUCACCGCAUCUUUCCCCGGGCCAACCAUAACCAAGAGUAUUGGUAACAGGGUGGAGUUCUUUAGCAUGCAUCUCUCUGCUGAAAUGUCCAAUGACAAGGACAGCAUGCACCCUCUCCUCGUUUGCUCAAGAAUGUUUUGGGUUAUUCCGACACCGGUGGUCGGAUUGUUUACAUUCUCAACCAGGAACCUGCUUUGGAGCGUGAGAUGCUCUACUAGAUAAAGGAGCAGGGGCCGGAUAGUUUGUAUGUUCUAUGUUUCCUUAAUUUUUAGUUUUUUUACUGAAUCUUAUGGUUAUAUACUGUUGAAUGGGUAUUCGUUUAUAGUUUUAGUAGUGUGGUUAUAGACCUUACUUGGUCAUGAUAUGUAGAGUUCGUUGUCACGGUUAACAAGUCCAUUAGCUGCUAAACGGUUGAUCCGAAGUAUCAUCAUGAUUACCCUAUUAUUUAAUUCCAUAUGCCAUAUCAAAUUUCAAAUAAGAUUUUACAUGUGACCU